UUGUGGAGGAGGACGCCGAAGGUGGGGCUAAUGACUGGGGUGAAGUCGUAACAAGGUAGCCGUACCGGAAGGUGCGGCUGGAUCACCUCCUAACAGGGAGACAACAGAAUGUUUAAUAUUAAUUUUGUCACCUUAGGUCGAUCGGUAUCUCACAUUCUUAAAUUAUUAAGAAUUUCCUUUCCUAAGUUUUUUCUAGGUCACACCCAUUACUUUUCCUGGGCCAUUAGCUCAGGUGGUUAGAGCGCACCCCUGAUAAGGGUGAGGUCCCUGGUUCAAGUCCAGGAUGGCCCAUAUCUCUAUGUUGGGGGUAUAGCUCAGUUGGUAGAGCGCCUGCUUUGCAAGCAGGAUGUCAGCGGUUCGAGUCCGCUUACCUCCACUGCCUACCACCUCUUUCAUAAGUUAUUGAUGGAAAUGUUUUGAGAUGUGAUCAAAUUCUGAACGAUUCUAGCUUCCUAAUAAAAUCAUCAAGAUAGAUCAUUAGGAUGCUGGACUCAUUGAAUAAAAUUCAUUGUUUUCAGAGAACCUUGACAACUGCACAGAUUAUUUUUAAAGACAAUAAGCAUCUUUAAUGAUGCAGAUUUAUUAUUUGUGCGAAUGCAUUAAUAACAAUUCUAUUAAGCUGAUGCUUCAAUUUUGAAGUUAUUGGUCAAGCUACAA
rnacentral:misc_RNA from 1 species